rnacentral:misc_RNA from 1 species
AUCGUCAUUGACGCUGAGAUGGGGAAAUUGGAAACCACGGGCAAGAAUGGCGGCAACAUAUUCAUCGACCGCGGGAAGAAUACAGAAUUCCGAUUGCUUGUCCGACCGGGUCUGCUCGAAGGCAGUAUCGAACACCUCACUCAGGUGUUGGAUGUAGGCGAGAUCGCGCUCGUAGGAGUAUCCAAGCAAUAGCCCCAACCGGAGCC